rnacentral:rRNA from 1 species
ACAUGCCUACAACAUAGAGUUAAUGCUCUGGAUCCCAUUAGAACUCUACAGUUAAGCGCGCUUAGGCUAGAGUAAUACUGGAGUGGGUGAUCGCCCGAGAAUUCCUAGUGUUUUACAUGCU